ensembl:lncRNA
GUGGCUUCAGAUACUGAGGAGAAUCCACUCGACUGAGAACCAGCAGCAGAAUAAUAACCAAAUACAACUGUAAUUAUUGUAAUUGGAAAAUGAUAUGUGACCCUUUUAAAUGCUUCGUUUGUAUAACCUUCGUUUGUUUAUUAGUUGCAUGUGCUUCGAUCACAAAGGCCCUGACAUAAGAACUGAUGUCUCCCUCUCGGAUUAGAUGUUUCCAGCGUCAUAGCUGUAGAGAUUGAACAAAGUGUUUGUUAUGUCUAUGACCACCUUUGUUUUAGCAAGGACACGGUCAAAGAGCUGACGUGUCAUACAUGGACAAGAUGUUCCCAGUACCCUGGCUGUAGAGACUCAACAAGAUGGUCAAAGGUUUCUGUUGACGCCACCGAUAUCUAAACUUAGGUAUAAGAACUGCCUCGAUGUGUUGGGGGAAAAAAAAAAGGAGGUUCUGGACAGUCUACUGACCACGUAGCUGUUGUGACCCUUUUUCCCUUAGAAGGAAAUAAACGGAGAAAAGACAUUCUUUACUCAGAGCCUUUGUUUCUUACUUAACGAUUGUCUGUGCAAAAUCUUCCACCACAAUUUGGUGUCAGAAGUGGGAUCGUUUGAAGCUCCGUCGGGACUCCGAGGACGUCCGGGAAGGGACCCCUUCAGGAUCCUCCAAACGUGAUUCUGACACGGGCGUGUGGCGGAGCCAAAUGCAGCACAACGGCACGGAGUGUUUGGUUAACGCUUUUAUUGAACACGGCCUCACAGCAGGCGUUCGGGCACAAUGAGAGGCAGAGCAGAGUGCGGUCCUCAGGAUCGGGGAGGAGAUGCCGGGAGACAGCUGGUGCGAUCGCUGGGCCGGUCGGGGAUCCGGAGCACAGGGGCAGAAGCGCCGGGCAGUCCAAGGAGCAGGCAACAGAAACCCGAGGCGCUCAGGCAGGACUCGUGGUCGGGGACAGAAGGCUGAGGUGCUCACCGGGGCGGAGACAGACGAACGGGUCGGGAACAGGCAGGGUCGAAACCGGGAGAUCAGUCCAAGGUAGAGUGCUGGAGAGACUUGCAUGACGCGAAGAACAAUCUGGCAAUGACAGGCUGGGUGUGCAGUGCUUAUGUAGCGGGGCUGAUUGUGAAUGCGAAGCAGGUGUGGAAGAUCGAGCUGGCAGGUGAGUGUGACAGAUUCUGCCCUAUACCUCAUCACACUCAGAGAGAGGGGACCGGAGACCAAAAGAGACCUGAUUGGCUUCAACACGAUCCGAUGAGGAAGAUUUUCACACGAAUCGGGUAAGAAGUUGAUAUUCUGAUUUUCAAACGGGGUUUAUCUGAAUUAUAACGGGUGAUAACAGAUUACAAAGACGGGUAUUUAGUACUUUGGGAUUUUUUUUUUAAUUAUUUUUUCUCUCUCUCUUCUUAGAAAAUCCAAAUUUCGGUUAUUUGAUUUGGCUUCUAAUGAUGAUAACUUGUCUUUUUAUCCGGUUAUUUUGAAAAAUGUGUAUAAAAUUAUACACAGAGUAAUUAUACAGUAUUUCCGGUUCAUCAGCAUCCAACUUUUUACUGGGGAAGACAGGGGCAAUGUGCGCAUUUACGAUUGUGUUCAGACUAACUAUCUGAAAACGCAUAAAUGUGACCCUUGACCAAAUGGGAAGACAGGGCCAAUUGACAAUUGUGACCGUUGACCGAAGGGGAAGAUAGGAGGGAUUUUGAGAGUUCACUGUGUUACGUUCUGCCUGUGCCUGGCCAUGCAACAGAGAGGGAAGACCACGCGGAUGAGUUGAUUGAAAGAAAAUACCGUUUAUUAAGGACAACGAAUGAGCAACGUAAAGUAAAUGAAGUCAGUAUAAGUGUUAGUCAGGAGAACUGAAAGCGUAUGAAAUCAGGGUAUAUGAAAAGUCAUGUAAAAGGAAACAAAAUCAGCAAAACGGUGCGGGAGAGAACGAGAAGCGGCAGCCCUCCUUCCACCAGGUCUCCCCAGCUUUUAAACCCCUCAGGAUACAUAAAGCCAUCCCAGGUGUUCCUGGAAGGAAUCAUAGGAAACCCGUCACACCUGUGCUCCGCUCACCUGUAGGGGAGAUGCAAAUAGACAAAACGAGGAGGAGGAGCCGGCAGGUCCGUAACACCUCCUCCCUUAAGACAGAGGCCCCUAAAGGCCUCUGCAAUAAAAAUGUUCGAAACCCCACACAAAAAAAUAAACAAAACAUUCUUAAUUUUUUUAAAUGAAUCUAUAAACUCAAAAUGAGCACUUAACUUUCGUUUCGGUAUGUUGACAGCCCAAUCACAUGGACUGGACACAGGAACCCUUUUGUCCACAGGCCAAAAACCACUCUACUCUCCAGCAGCUCCAAUCACCCUCCCGCAUACCAAGAGCUCCCGCAAAUCCCGGUACCUGGAAAGCUACAUUUAAGGAGAUUAAGCGGAAGAAGAGUGGAGAAACCAGAAGAGCGAGAGAUAGAGGCCAAGGCAAAGCAUUCACUCCAGCCCACCCGGAGCACGGGACAAAGCGUCAGCCAUGACAUUGUCCACGCCCCGAAUGUGCCGUAUGUGCAAAUUGUAUGGCUGCAAAAAUAAAGCCCAACGCAUAAGGCGCUGACUAGGACUCUUUAAAGUGUGGAGGAAUGUCAGUGGAUUGUGAUCCGAGUAGACAGUGAUAGGAACAGCGCCCCCAGCUAGAUACACAUCAAAC